rnacentral:rRNA from 1 species
UACGUAGGGUGCGAGCGUUGUCCGGAAUUAUUGGGCGUAAAGAGCUCGUAGGCGGUGUGUCGCGUCGGCCGUGAAAACCUGGGGCUCAACUCUGGGCGUGCGGUCGAUACGGGCAUCACUUGAGUUCGGCAGGGGAGACUGGAAUUCCUGGUGUAGCGGUGAAAUGCGCAGAUAUCAGGAGGAACACCGGUGGCGAAGGCGGUUCUCUGGGCCUUACCUGACGCUGAGACGCGAAAGCGUGGGGAGCGAACAGG